rnacentral:rRNA from 1 species
GUGAGGAAUAUUGCGCAAUGGAGGCAACUCUGACGCAGCCAUGCCGCGUGCAGGAAGAAGGCGCUACGCGUUGUAAACUGCUUUUAACCGGGAAGAAACCCCAGGACGUGUCCUGGGUUGACGGUACCGGAGGAAUAAGCACCGGCUAACUUCGUGCCAGCAGCCGCGGUAAUACGAAGGGUGCAAGCGUUAUCCGGAUUCAUUGGGUUUAAAGGGUGCGUAGGCGGAGCGUUAAGUCAGUGGUGAAAUCCUGCAGCUUAACUGUAGACUUGCCAUUGAUACUGGCGCGCUUGAGUGCGCUUGAAGUGGGCGGAAUGUGCCGUGUAGCGGUGAAAUGCUUAGAUAUGGCACAGAACAACAAUUGCGAAGGCAGCUCACUAAGGCGAUACUGACGCUGAGGCACGAAAGCGUGGGGAUCGAACAGGAUUAGAAACCCCGGUAGUCC